CCUACGGGGGGCAGCAGUGGGGAAUAUUGGACAAUGGGCGAAAGCCUGAUCCAGCCAUGCCGCGUGUGUGAAGAAGGCCUUCGGGUUGUAAAGCACUUUCAGUGGGGAAGAAAGCCUUGGGGCUAAUACCCUCGAGGAAGGACAUCACCCACAGAAGAAGCACCGGCUAACUCCGUGCCAGCAGCCGCGGUAAUACGGAGGGUGCGAGCGUUAAUCGGAAUUACUGGGCGUAAAGCGCGCGUAGGCGGUCUGAUAAGCCGGUUGUGAAAGCCCCGGGCUCAACCUGGGAACGGCAUCCGGAACUGUCAGGAUAGAGUGCAGGAGAGGAAGGUAGAAUUCCCGGUGUAGCGGUGAAAUGCGUAGAGAUCGGGAGGAAUACCAGUGGCGAAGGCGGCCUUCUGGACUGACACUGACGCUGAGGUGCGAAAGCGUGGGUAGCAAACAGGAUUAGAUACCCUAGUAGUC
rnacentral:rRNA from 1 species